rnacentral:rRNA from 1 species
UCGGGGUGUCAGUGCGGGCAAGUUGCAUGGAAAUGCACGCCGUGGAGGGUGAGAGCCCCGUCCAACCCACACAGGACACGCCGUACGAGAGCGUUUCAGGCGAGUCGGGUAGCUUGGGAAUGCUGCUCUAAUCGGUGGUAAAUCUCAUCGAAGGCUAAAUAGCGGCUGGAGACCGAUAGCGAACAAGUACCGUGAGGGAAAGAUGACAAGCACUUUGAAAAGAGGGUGAAAAGAGCCUGAAACCGUCAUGGGGGAAGCGGAUCGCGUUGGCCUGGUGGGCGCCUGUGUGUUCAGCCUUCGGGUGCAUUGGCACAGGUGCUUAUCCGCUGUGGGUUUUCGGGGGUCGAUUUUGGAUCCCUGGAGGCUGAGGGCUCCCUUCGGGUGAGGACAGCGGAGUGACGACGCGAUACGACCCGUCUUGAAACACGGACCAAGGAGUCUAGCGCGGGUGCGAGUCGGAGGGUGCAAGCCCGUGGGCGAAGUGAAAGCGAGUGUAAAAACGAGCAGUUUGGGGCGGCAUAAGAUCGUUGAUCUCAAGACCGACCCAGAGCAGUUGCGCUGGGACCCGAAAGAUGGUGAACUAUGCCGGAGUAGGGCAAAGCCAGAGGAAACUCUGGUGGAGGCUCGUAGCGGUGCUGACGUGCAAAUCGCUCGUCCAACUUGGGUAUAGGGGCGAAAGACUAAUCGAACCAUCUAGUAGCUGGUUCCCUCCGAAGUUUCUCUCAGGAUAGCGGGCCGACAAGUUGUUUUGUGCGGUAAAGCGAAUGAUUAGCGCACGUGGGGCCAUUUCGGCUUCAGGCGAUUCUCAAACUUUAAAUGCGCAAGGGUGUCGCUGCUUAAUUGAGCGGCACCGCUAAAAACGUCGGCCCUGUGGGCCACUUUUGGUAAGCA